rnacentral:tRNA from 15 species
GGGGGUGUAGCUCAGCGGUUAGAGCGCCAAGCUUAUACCUUGGUGGUCCAUGGUUCGAAUCCAUGCACCCCCAC